UACGGAGGAUUCAAGCGUUAUCCGGAUUUAUUGGGUUUAAAGGGUGCGCAGGCGGUCUGUUAAGUCAGCGGUCAAAGCCCGGGGCUCAACCCCGGCCCGCCGUUGAAACUGGCAGACUUGAGUUGGCGAGAAGUACGCGGAAUGCGCGGUGUAGCGGUGAAAUGCAUAGAUAUCAUGCAGAACUCCGAUUGCGAAGGCAGCAUACCGGCGCCCUACUGACGCUGAGGCACGAAAGCGUGGGUAUCGAACAGG
rnacentral:rRNA from 1 species